rnacentral:misc_RNA from 1 species
GUGGGAGCGGGCUUGCUCGCGAAUGCGGUAUGUCAGUUGAUGCAUUCGGUGACUGAUUCAUCGCAUUCGCGAGCAAGCCCGCUCCCAC